AUUGAACGCUGGCGGCAGGCCUAACACAUGCAAGUCGAGCGAGCGGCGGACGGGUGAGUAAUGUCUGGGAAACUGCCUGAUGGAGGGGGAUAACUACUGGAAACGGUAGCUAAUACCGCAUACCAUCAGAUGUGCCCAGAUGGGAUUAGCUAGUAGGUGGGGUAACGGCUCACCUAUGCGACGAUCCCUAGCUGGUCUGAGAGGAUGACCAUCCACACGUGAACUGAGACACGGUCCAGCCUACGACGGGAGGCAGCAGUGGGGAAUAUUGCACCAUUGGCGCAAGCCGGAUGCAGCCAUGCCGCGUGUGUGAAGAAGGCCUUCGGGUUGGAAAGCACUUUCAGCGGGGAGGCGUUACCCGCAGAAGAAGCACCGGCUAACUCCGUGCCAGCAGCCGCGGUAAUAC
rnacentral:rRNA from 1 species